rnacentral:rRNA from 1 species
CCCUUAGAUGUUCUGGGCCGCACACGCGCUACACUGACGGAGUCAACGAGUUGUCCUGCAUCGGAAGGUGUGGGUAAUCUUUUGAAACUUCGUCGUGCUGGGGAUAGAUCUUUGCAAUUUUCGAUCUUGAACGAGGAAUUCCUAGUAAGCGUGAUUCAUCAGAUCGCGUUGAUUACGUCCCUGCCCUUUGUACACACCGCCCGUCGCUACUACCGAUUGAAUGGUUUAGUGAGGCCUCGGGACUGGCGCGCUCGAGUAGCAAUACACCUGCGCGCCGGGAACUUGGUCAAACUUGAUCAUUUAGAGGAAGUAAAAGUCGUAACA